GUCCUGCAGCCGCUGCCCGCCGAGGGGAUCAAUCCACGCCGGGAAAAUGGGGAUGGGAGUGCAGUCGCAGCCCUGCAUGCUGCCCCCCCCGUCCCCCCAAUGGCUUUUUGGGGCUGCCAAAGCCUCGUGGCAGCACCGCAACUGCUUUCCUGCACUAUUUAUAGCCUGGGGUGUGGCGGGGGGGGCACAGCACGCAGCCCCCAGAGCAUCACCCGCUCCCUCCGCAGCACUGCAGCCGCUCAGCCUCGUGGCCCUUUUUGUUUAAUUUCUCAGAUGAUUCUUUUUUCCUUUUUCUUUCUUUUUUUUUUUUUUUCCCCCCGCAUUUCCAGGGCAACCGCCGGCCCCACGUGGAAUGUGCCGGGCGAGAAGGCAGCCCCGCUCCUUGUUCCCAUUGCCUCCUAUGGUCAGUGCUGCCCAGCUCCAGGGGCAGCGGUGCUCUGCCCGCAGUUGGGUGCUCCCACUUUGGAACAUCCCAGAUCUGAGCCCCAAAGCUCUCGGGAUCAUUUCCUAUCCGGGGAGUUUUUGCUGCAAUGGGACACAGCAUGGUGCUCCCCAGGGUCCAGCGCUCUGCCUGGGAGCCCUCCUUCCCCUUUAUUGCCUCAAUGUGAAUUAAUACCCAUUUCCUGAAGCUUUUAUGGUUUCCUCCCAAAUGGCUCUUACAUCAGGGGGAUAUUGGGUUACAGCAGCCAGCAAAGAGCUGGGGCUCUGCGCAAUCCCAAACCCACUGCGCCCUGGGUUGGGCGGUGCAUGUUACCCCACUGGGACAGUGGGGAGCACUCAGGACCCUCCCAGAUCUCCACAAUGGGUUAUCUGAAUGCACGGGGCAUUGCGGCUGGGGGGCAGCUGAGGGAUUUCGGGGGGUUCCCUGGUUUUGGGGUGAUUUCAGGGCUUUGCUCUCUGCUUUGCUUUGUGCCAUGGGACCGGGCGCAUGCACACCUCUUGGGCUGGUUACUGUAGAAACGAAAUUAGCACAGGGAGGGAAUGCAAUCCCAGAGCUAAUUAAGGUAAUUACAGCUUCACACCAGCUGCUCACGAGGUCCAAGGACCUUCUGUAACUUGUGGAGGGGAUCAGCCGCUGCUGGGGGGAGUCUUUAAACCCCAGAUUCUGCUGCGGUGGCACCCCUGGGCUCCCAGGGACCACAUGGGGUCAGUGCCAGCAGUGGGGAUGGGAUGUGCCACACGGCACGGCCAGUGCCCCAGGUGUGCCUCCUCCAGGUGUGCUGGCCCCAUCACAGUAACAACCCAGGGUGGGUUUGGGAUUUGGGGACCCAGCAGCAAUGGUACCAAUGGAUACACACAGUGGUACCACUUCGAGACAUCCAUCCAGCACAAGCACCAGCAGCACAGGGAUGAGAACUGGGGAUGCACUGACCUGGGGUUGGGGGGGGGCGGGUAGGGGGCUAGCAUCCCCCAGGGUGAGGCUGCAGGGAGGCAGUGGGAUCUGGGGGUGUCAGGGAUGCUGAGAGGGGACACGGGGCUGUGAAGCGACAGAGAUCAGCCCCAAGGUGGGACCCAGUGGGUGGGGACAAGGCAGCAAUGGGGCGGCUGUGGGGUCUGCAGCGGGGACACAUCCCAAGGGAGGACAGGAGCAUCCCCACGCCCCUGCAGCGUCUCAUAACCCAUGGAAAUACCAUUACCUAGCGGCUGCCUGCCCACAGAACAUGAUUUGGAGCCGAUUCCCGGCACCGUCCUGGGGCGGGAGCCAGGGGAACGCGGCCAAACGUAUUUGCUGCGGCCAACACGGCCCCGCGGUGGGGCGGCGUGGGGCUGGGGGUGGCGGGGGGGCCGGGAGCACCCGUGUCAGCAGGCGGUGAUUCACCGCUUACCAGAAUGCCGAUAUUUAUCACCCGGCUCCGCCACGAGGCGAGACGAGACGCUAAAAUAACCGACCAAAUAAAUGAAUAAAUAAUAAUAAUAAAUCUAACGCUACGGCUCGGGUGGCAGCAUCCCCUCUGCAGAUCCGAAUGGGUUUUCUCGUCUCCUCCUCCCCACCCCGGUUCUCUCUGCGGCGGGUGGAUUCUGAUGGAGGAAAAUAAACGCAGCCGCUCCCUCCCGUGCGUGUCCCCGAUUGCCCCGUGCUCCGCAGCUCCAAUGGGACGCGCCGAUCACAGAGAAGGGCCUGCCAGCCUGGCUUGGCUUUCCAUCACUGCUGACAGAGGCAGCUGAGGCCAUGCCUGAGGUGUGAUGAGAGUCACAGUGCUCAGCACUGUCCCUGGAUCCCCAGAAACCAUCACCAUGAGGACAAGGAGGGGCAGCAUGUGUCCAUGGGAUGCAGUGAGAGCGCUGGGGUUCAGUACAGGACCCCCCCAUGCAGUGCUCUGACGCCGUGCUAUGCUUUAUCAAAGCUCUACGUGGAGCUCAGCUCUCAUUGCACUGGGGGUCUCCCUGUGGGAAAUGUGGGUCUGAGCAGCGCUGCAGGGCUGUUCCCCUCCUUUGGCAUUCUGCAUUCUGCUCAUGUCCUGUGUGAGAGCAGCGGCACUGAGUCACGUUCCAG
ensembl:lncRNA